CGCGCCGAGGCGGGCGGGCAGCAUCCCUCCCUUGCCUUUUUAAAAAAAUACCUCCCUCCCUGUUUAAAAAAAAAAAACAAAACAAACAAACGCUCUUUCCUUUCCUUAAGGCCGGAGGAGAAAGCUCCGCUUCAGCUUCCUUGCCCCAAGCAUCCAUCCUCGCCCCAGGGGCCCCUCAUUGCCCCGAACGUCCCUCUUGCACCCAACACGCCUUCGUUGCCAGCGAUUUCCAGUGCACCUAAGGAGGAAGGCUGAGGAAAAGACAUAUGCCUAGCACAGAUUUCAGACUUCUGGACAUCAGCACUACUGUAGAGAAACUGAUCUGACAGGGAGCAAAAAUACACUGUUGGAAAUAAAUUCGGUGUUAUGCUGAAAGUCAGCCAUGAAACCUCGUGGAAGAUGGUGGGUGAGAAAGCUUCCUUUCCCUAGGAAAAGAACUGCCUUCUUUUUGGGACAUCCUCAUUGAGACUCCAGGAGCUGCACCAUAACAUUCCGCACCCUACGUACCACGGCACACAUGCCUACAGUGCUGAACUGAGGGGGCUGAGGCACUUCUCCAGGAUCCAACUGCAAAGGCUGGGGACAAGGUGGCAUAUGAUGAAAUGGAGCAACUCAGAAAGUGACAGCAGAAACAUCAGAGAAGCAGACAUAGCAAGUAGCAAGGACACGCCAGAGCCAGCAAGGAAAACCCUUGUAGCCUGACCUUGAGAGAAACCUAAGAGAGGUAACUUGAGUUGUGGAUCAAAAGAAGCUUGAAAGUGUGAAAAGAGAAAACACUGACUAUUGUUUUGACUCCUGCUGUGCCCAGAGUAACAGGACAUUGUGUACAUUCUUUCUAAACAAACACGUUAAAAAGCUCAAUUCACUCCCUCAGCCGUUUGUUCUCCAAACACAAGUAACUUGUAGGGACCCUGAAUAUUGGUCAACUAGCUGGGUCAAAAAGGGUAACAAGAAAUAUUUUAAUAAGGGGAACUUUCUCCUCAGAAUUGAUUUUUCUUUUUCUUGUCUCUAGUAAAAGGUUUUAGUCCUUGUCUUGGUGAUAUUGUCAUUAGCAUUGUCAUAGCAACUGAUAAACAAGGAGAAAGCGAUGUGCAACAAACUUUUUUUUUUUUAAAGGCAGCCCAAAUGUCUUACUAACAAGUAAUUUGGUGACAGAAUUUAGCAAAGCGGCUGCACAGUAAAUGGGUUUAUCUUUAAACAUAAUGCUCUUUUCCAUUUUAACUGAGCAUAAAAUCGUAUCUUUAAAGGAUUGGCAAAAAGCGGGGCUUUAUGCCUCUUGAGUAGUUCCAUGUGACAUAUGGUCUUUCCAAGCAAUAGUUUUAUCGGCUGUGCACAGUAGCAGCAGAUUUGAGCUAAUGUUCCUGUGAAAACAAGUAAGGGUUUAUCCAAAAACUGAAGAAGGGGAGGAGAAAGGCACCUUUGCCCUGCUGUACAGAAAAAACAAAUCGUGUCUUACGUCAAACUUACGACAUCCCUCUAUAAAUAUAGCAGCUACUGGUAGUGACUAACUUCAGCACAUGCACUGGGUGGGUUGAAGAGGACUCUGUGACCUGUUUGAUUCCCUGCCCACCACUGAUAUUCCCAGGAGUGUUUCAGCCCUGUGUCGCUCUGAAGCCUUGGAUGGAGCAGGGUUCUUCUGGAUCUUCUCAGGAACAGAUGGGGCAUCCCUGCUCAGAGGGGCUUAGCUCCAACUUUUCCUAUGUAGCCACAUCUUUCCCAACAUAGAUGCUUAUAAUCAGCAUCAGGCACUGGCAAACAGCACAGCUUGCUUGUUGUUAGAUGCAUCUCAUGGGGUGCUGAAGAACACCCUGUCUCCAUGUUCCCCAACAUCCUGCUUCACUCUGGGGUUACCGCUGGGGAUUCUCUUAGCAGCUGGGCAGCAGUGCAGGGCAGGAUGAGCCUCAUAUACAAACACACACUGUGUUCGUUUUAACACACAGCUCUGCCUAAAUAUUGGCCUAAAAUUAUUUUUGAGCUCACUGCCACCUCAGUGGAGGACCACUGCAUUAGAAAUGGGAUGAAAAUGGAGCUCCUGAAACUGGCUUUCCUUGUCUGAGUUUUUCUUGGGACUGUGGCACCAUGCAGAGUUGCAAACCCUGGGAUAGGAAUACCAGACCUUAUAUAUGGCAUGCUUACAAAGGACACUAUGGUACACACACUGCAGACAAACUACUCUGCAACAAAGAAAGGCUUUGUGCUGACUCAACAGAACUAGGUAACAAAUGCAGCUUUAAAAAUGACUUUUUCUCAAUAAAGGGUAAUCAGUUCUUCCUUUUUCUCAUUGUGUGAGAUACUCUAUAGACUUUAUUCAUUAGAGAGCACUCUGCAAAGUUGAAGUAAGAAAUGGGAAAAAUAAGGAUGGGAAUAGAGUGGUAAAUUCAGCUUGUAUGUCAAGGAAAUUACAAUAAACUGAUACGC